CCUGAUUUGGUCUUCAUGGAUUACCCUUACAAAAACAACUGACUUUGGUUCUCAAUACAGUAAGUUGCUUUUUGUUGGGGUAGUUUUGCUGA
rnacentral:pre_miRNA from 11 species